rnacentral:lncRNA from 1 species
ACCUUGUGUGUGGGGGAACUUGCACCAUAGGAAAGCACCUUAACUGUCAUGUGGCCCUUUCCCCUCCCCCUGGGAACUGCGCAUGGGCCCUGAGGGUGCAGCUUCCACAGACUCACCCAGUGAGGUAGGGGUAAGUGUGGCUGACACCUUCUAAAUCUACUUGGUAAAGCGAACUAUACCCAGAGGGCGAUGAAGAGCACAAAAAGCCAGGGUCCAACGGGCAGCACGCAAUAGUGCAGGGUAUGCCGUGCAAUCCAGCCCUCUUCCUGAAGCUCUGGGGAAGGAGAGCCAGAGGGGCCAUACAGAAUGGUCCCAGAUGAGAGACAAAGGCAGGCAGCUGCUUCGUAUGGGUCCUGGCUGGGGCCCCCUAACCGUGUGUCUCAUCAGCUGUCUCUCCUUUGUUAAAGGAAAAGCAGGAAGAGAGCAGUUGGUAUCUUGGCAUUACCCAGAACCCAGAUACUCCUUCCCAGUCAACUCAAUUAUCUGCACCAAUGAACUGGGAAAAAGGCA